rnacentral:rRNA from 1 species
GAUCAUGGCUCAGGAUGAACGCUAGCGACAGGCUUAACACAUGCAAGUCGAGGGGCAUCAUGAGGUAGCAAUACCUUGAUGGCGACCGGCGCACGGGUGAGUAACGCGUAUGCAACCUGCCCGAUACCGGGGUAUAGCCCAUGGAAACGUGGAUUAACACCCCAUAGUACUUUUAUCCUGCCUGGGAUGGGAGUUAAAUGUUCAAGGUACGUCGGAGUGGGCAUGCCGUCCUAUUAGUUAGUUGGG